rnacentral:rRNA from 1 species
GAAUGCUUUACACAUGCAAGUCGAACGGCAGCACGGACUUCGGUCUGGUGGCGAGUGGCGAACGGGUGAGUAAUAUAUCGGAACGUGUCCAAUAAUGGGGGAUAACUAAUCGAAAGGUUGGCUAAUACCGCAUACGCCCUACGGGGGAAAGCAGGGGAUCUUAGGACCUUGCGUUAAUGGAGCGGCUGAUAUCUGAUUAGCUAGUAGGUGGGGUAAAGGCCCACCUAGGCGACGAUCAGUAGCUGGUCUGAGAGGACGACCAGCCACACUGGAACUGAGACACGGUCCAGACUCCUACGGGAGGCAGCAGUGGGGAAUUUUGGACAAUGGGCGCAAGCCUGAUCCAGCCAUUCCGCGUGAGUGAAGGAGGCCUUCGGGUUGUAAAGCUCUUUCGCGAGGGAAGAAAACUUAACUACUAACAUUAGUUGAGGCUGACGGUACCUUGAUAAGAAGCACCGGCUAACUACGUGCCAGCAGCCGCGGUAAUACGUAGGGUGCGAGCGUUAAUCGGAAUUACUGGGUGUAAAGCGUGCGCAGGCGGUUUUGUAAGUCAGAUGUGAAAUCCCCGAGCUCAACUUGGGAACUGCGUUUGAAACUACAAGACUAGAAUAUGUCAGAGGGGGGUAGAAUUCCACGUGUAGCAGUGAAAUGCGUAGAGAUGUGGAGGAAUACCAAUGGCGAAGGCAGCCCCCUGGGAUAAUAUUGACGCUCAUGCACGAAAGCGUGGGGAGCAAACAGGAUUAGAUACCCUGGUAGUCCACGCCCUAAACGAUGUCUACUAGUUGUUGGUGGAGUAAAAUCCAUGAGUAACGCAGCUAACGCGUGAAGUAGACCGCCUGGGGAGUACGGUCGCAGAUUAAACUCAAUGAAUUGACGGGGGCCC